UAUUUAAAUAGGAAGGGCUUCUACAGCAUUAAUGUCGAAGCGGUAUGUGAUCACCGUUUAUGCUUCACGUUUCUAAGUGCUAAAUUUCCGGGUGCGACACAUGACUCUGGAAUUUGGGCAACUUCUGACCUACGAGAGCAUCUCAUUCGUCAACACACCAAUGACUCUGUAGGGCAACGAAGGUAGUCGUGGCUGAUUGGUGACCAAGGUUACCCUUUAGAACCUUGGCUCUUAACACCGGUCGGAAAUCCUAGUACUUCUCAAGAGCGAAAGUAUAAUAAGCUAUAUUGUACUGCCAGAAAUUGUGUUGAAAGAGCGUUCGGAGUUUUAAAAUCGUGCUUCAGAUGUUUGCAUGUUAUUCCCAUGAAACGUCCGCAUUAAUAAUAAGCAGUUGUGUUAUACUGCAUAAUAUAAUUACGAAAUCUGGUAUCACCAUGGACGCGGUGGACAACGAGGUUGAAGAAGACUCUGACCAUGUAGUUAAUUCCGGUGACUCUUUGCAGUAUACACGAGAAGGUGAAAGGAUAAGGGCAAGAUAUAUAUCUACACUUUAACACAUUAUUACACUAUACACUACAUUACUAUGUACUAACAAUAUGCAAAUAUACACUGCACAAUGACAUUACACAUUAACCUACUCCUGUUACAUUAUCCUUCUAUUAUUACACAAUAUAACGACUGCUAACAAUAUGUGUAUACACAAGUCAUAUGUAAACAGAAUAUCUAAACAGAAGCACACAUCACCGCACUUAAAAGUAACCCCUGCAUAGCCUGUGUCAGGCACAUGCUAAGCUGCUCGGUCUGAGUCACGACAUCUUCAGCUACAGAAUAACACAACCAGAUAUAAUUAUUAACAACAUUGUUUCAUUAGUUUAAUUCAUUAGUUUGAAUAAUUUAUUUUAAUAAAAACAAAGUCCAUUAACAUACAUACAUAUGGAUAUGUACAAACAAGAAAACUAAAAUUUGAAAAAUAAGGAAUUAAAAAAAAUAUAAAAUUCAGUCUUCCAACUCUAAUGACCAGAGUUUUGUUUUAAAACAUUUAUUAACUCUGCGACAACUCUUGUUAGGUAAUGGAUGGCAUGAAUUACUUCCCGGUGCUCCCGACGCUGUUCCUCUUCACGAUGUUGCCUGUGUUCUUCAGCAGCAUUCCUGUUUGCUAUGUUAGCAAUAAGAGUACUAAUUAGCUUAUUGCGCUCCCCUCGUGAUGGCCGUGAUGUCCUGGCAUCCGAAUCGGUGUCAAUCUUAAAAAAAAAAAUAUUUAUUAAAAACUACGUAAAGGCAUAUGUAUGUUUGUAUGUAUGGAUAUAUAUAUAUGGGCACAUGUAAAUGCAUAUGCAUUAUGCAAAUAUGUAUACAUAUACAUAUAUGCAUAACUAUGUAUUAUGUAUAGGUACUCAUAUAGAUACGAGUAUAUUGGUGCGAAUUCUUGGGCUCCAAAUUUAAAGUUUGUUAAAUUAUUAAAAAGUUCGUAUGAAGCUAAAAACUUGGGUUCAUAUGGCUUUUCUUUGCGAAUAAAUAAAAAAAACGUUAACUUCGGUUGCACCGAAGCUAAAUACCCUUCAUAGGUGCAUUUCUGUUAGUAACUAUGUGUUCAGUUUGUAUGAAAACUAUAUGCUAUAGCAAUCCGAUCUGAACAAUUUCUUCGGAGAUUACAUUGUUGGCUUAAAAAAAAAUCUAUACCAAAUUUCGUGAAUUUAUCUCGUCAAAUGUGAAAGUUUUCCAUACAAGAACUUGAUUCCGAUUGUUCAGUUUGUAUGGCAGCUAUAUGCUAUAGUAAUCCGAUCGGAACAAUUUCUUCGGAGAUUACAUUGUUGCCUUAAAAAAUAAUCUGUACCAGAUUUUGUGAAUUUAUCUCGUCAAAUGUGAAAAUUUUCCAUACAAGAACAUGAUUCCGAUCGUUCAGUUUGUAUGGCAGCUAUAUGCUAUAGUAAUCCGAUCGGAACAAUUUCUUCGGAGAUUACAUUGUUGCAUUAAAAAAUAAUCUAUACCAAAUUUCGUGAAUAUAUCUGGUCAAAUGUGAAAGUUUUCCAUACAAGAACUUGAUUCCGAUCGUUCAGUUUGUAUGGCAGCUAUAUGUUAUAGUGGUCCGAUAUCGGCAGUUCCGACAAAUGAGCAGCUUCUUGAAGAGAAAAUGACGUUUGCAAAAUUUCAAAACGAUAUCUUAAAAACUGAGGGACUAGUUUAGUUUGUAUAUAUACAGACAGACGGACGGACGGAGGGACGGACAGACAGACGGACAUGGCUAAAUCGACUCAGCUCGACAUACUGAUCAUUUAUAUAUAUACUUUAUAGAGUUUCCGACCCUUCCUUCUGGGUGUUACAAACAUCGUGACAAACUUAAUAUACCCUGUUCAGGGUAUAAAAAGAAAAAAAAGCCACUGCGUUUAACUAGUGGCCAGGGGUUUAUGUACUUGGAUACAUUGUAGAAUAAAAUAGAAAUUACAUACCUGAUUAUCCGGGCUAAAUAACGGUGAAUCAUAUGGAGAUUGUGCUGAAUUUGGCGAUUGUAGUGGGUUUGGCGAUGGCAGUGGGUUUGGCGAUGGUAGUGGACCUGGCGAUGGUAGUGGGUUUGACGAUGGUAGUGGGUUUGGCGAAGGUAGUGGGGUUGGCGACAAUAAUAGGCUUAGCAGUGGUGCUGAACUAGGCAGUCUACUUUCAGUAGAUGAUAUUAGACACUCAAUUAUCGACGAUUCUACAAUUUGUUUUCGCGGCAGCCCUAAACCAAAGCUUUCAAUAGUUUCCACUCCAUCCACAGCUACUGAUCCAAAAGCUGCCAAAGAUUUUUGCUCGAAAUCGGUCAACGGCUUGCCACAGGGCCCUCCUCCAGUGAGCCUCUGCUCCAUUUUUAAGCGCCUUGCCCGCGUACGUAGUUGACUCUUCCAAACACCCAUUGUCUGUAAAUCAAAAUCAUUUAACAAAUGUAGAAAAUAUCAGACGAAGUACCUCUUUCCACUUAGCUGCAGUACGAGAUGGCCCUCUGCACGCAUUGAACUGCUCCGCCAGCUGCCGCCACAAAUCCUGCAUUUGUCGAGGCGAUUUUGGCGUAUUUUUUCCUCUACCGAUUUCCGGAUGCGCCCGGCAAAAUAACGUAAGUUUUUAAUUGUUCCUGCGUAGCACGUUGGUUUUUUGGUUUCCUAUAAAUUGAAUUAAAUAUUAAACCAUAUAUUUCUUUAAAAUUAACAAUUAAUAAUAAUGAAUACUUACGUUGUUGAAGAAUCCAUUUCGCACUAAACAGCUGAUUUCUGUUUACAUUAUUUUGUUCACCACAGUAUGGUGAAAAGCGAUUCGCACUGAAGCUUUAAGUUUUAUCAAUAUUUGCACAGAAUAACAAAAAGCUUUUGGCUUGAUAAAAAUCUUGAUAAAUAAACAAUAUUUUGAUAAUUUGUUAAGUGCACAGAAUCGGUCUGUUAUACUUACACCCCUAUUCUGUGCAUAUGACAAAUUAAUAAAAUAUUGACAAUUAACUCAAAUAUUUAUCAAGCGAGAAAUAUUUUGGUAUUCUGUGACAAUCUUGAUAAAAGUAAAAGCUUCAAUUCGCAAAGCUUCUCCCCACACGUGUGGUGAACAAAAUAAUGUAAAUAAAAACAGCUGAUUUCUAUUCAAAUUAUAUUGAUAGCAAUAUGCGUGCAGUUAAUUGCUACUAUGAUGCUUUUUAUUCCAAAUUUUCUAAAAAAUCUGGAAUAUAUUUCAAAUAAAUUUACUUAAAUUAGUAUGUUAUUAAUACUUGCCCCGAUUUUAUAAAAUUUUCUUCCUCACUUUCACAAUAAGUUUUGCUACAGCCCGAAAUGGACGACUGACUCAUGGGCACGUCAACUUGCCUUGUUACCUACACAUUACUGGUAUGAGCCGUGUCCAAAGAAGUUCAAAGCUGCUAGAACUCUUAGAGUUAAAGGUAGUGAGGGUAAAUUUCACGAGUUAAUCGAAAAUUUUGCGCAAAGGUAUUCUCACUCAAAGAAAAUGGAUGGCUAUCAUCACGUAAACAUUUUAAAUGCCGCGCGCGAUUCCCAUUCUCACAAUUUUCAGCUUCGUUUAACAAUAAUAACAUAUCUUCCAUUUUUACAACAAGAUGCACAAACAGAUAUUUAAUUCAUAACGAGCACUGUCAAGAGCAUAUGACAUCUUAACAACUUAUAAAGAAAAGAACUUUUUAUUUCAGACACAGAAUACGAAAUGCUUCAUAAAUUUCAAAUUUUGACAAAUUAUAAAUAUGUUGAAUUUGUCAAGUGCACAGAAUAGGGGUGUUAGUAAUACAAAAAUAACAAAAUAGGUGAAGUGACAAAAACCAAAACAAAUUGCAAAGAAAAUCGAAGCAAAUACAAAUUACAACACAUGUGUUCAUAACAGGAAAAACCAUACGAGUGCUGUGAAAAAAAAAACAAAAACAGUGCAGUGAACAAGCAGAACAAUAAACAAAAACCAACAUUAUUAUAUGUAUAAUAUAUAAGAAAAAAAAAGAAAAAAAAUAAAGUGCAGUACAAUGCACUAAAAAUAUUACAUACAUUCGGACAUACACAGUAAAACAGUUCCAGCAAACAAACAAAAAAAAAAAACAACACAAACGUGCGAAAUUUAAAAACGUCUAAAUAAUAAAACACAACAAAACUACGCAAAAACGAAGCUAUCGGGCGCGAUAAUUAGAACAAAUACAUAUAUGUACAUGCAAUCAUCAUCAAGCUACCUGGUUGUCUCCGGAUCGAAAAACUACCAACCAGAUCGAUCAUGUUGUGAUAGACGGAAGACACGUCUCUAGUGUUUUAGAUGUGCGUGCGCUCCGAGGUCCUAACAUCGACUGGACCACUAUCUUUUUGCAGCCAAGAUUCGCACCCGCUUCUGUGCAGCAAAAAACACACGCCAAUAAACACAAGGAAGGUUCGACGUCAAGAAGCUGCAAUCACAACAGACAGCCGAACGCUUUUCUACUCGGCUUGCACCCCUGCUUUCUGAGAGCACUCGUCAACAACUCGGUAUAAGCGAACUGUCAUGGCAUUUCAAACUCCUUACGUACAGCUGCAACCGAAACCAUUGGCUUUCGGAAAGUGCAAAAGAACAGCUGGUACGACGAGGAGUGCCGUGUCGCAGCGGAGAGAAAAAAGACUGCCUACCUCUCAACGUUACGAUCGACCACAACACGUGAGGGAUGGGAUAGAUACCGAGAGCUGAAGAGGGAAGCGAGACGCAUCUGCAGACAGAAAAAGAAAGAGGCCGAAAUGCGUGAGUACGAAGAGCUGGAUAAGCUGGCCGACAGGGGUAAUGCUCGAAAAUUCUACGAAAAAAUGCGGCGGCUUACAGAAGGUUUCAAGACCGGAGCAUACUCUUGUAGAACCCCCAAAGGUGAUCUAGUCUCCGAUGCCCAGAGCAUACUUAAAUUAUGGAGGAAACACUUCUCCAGUCUGCUGAAUGGCAGUGAACGCACAACGCCAGGAGAAGGCGAACCCGAUUCCCCAAUCGAUGACGAUGGAGCAGACGUUCCAUUACCCGACCAUGAAGAAGUUGGAAUAGCAAUUGCCCGCCUGAAAAACAACAAAGCGGCAGGGGCCGACGGAUUGCCGGCCGAGCUAUUCAAACACGGCGGCGAAAAACUGAUAAGGAGCAUGCUUCAGCUUCUUUGUAAGAUAUGGUCGGACAAAAGCAUGCCCAACGAUUGGAAUUUAAGUGUGCUCUGCCCAAUCCUUAAAAAAGGAGACAAUCUGCGCCAACUACCGUGGGAUUAGCCUCCUCAACAUCGCAUAUCAGGUUCUAUCGAGCGUAUUGUGUGAAAGAUUAAAGCCCACCGUCAACAAACUGAUUGGGUCUUAUCAGUGUGGCUUUAGACCUGAAAUCAACAACCGACCAGAUAUUCACCAUGCGCCAAAUCUUGGAAAAUACCCGUGAAAGGAGAAUCGCGACUUGCUCUCUCGUCACUGUUGACAGUCAUAACUUUGAAGUUGUAGAUAAUUUCGUCUAUCUUGGAACUAGCGUCAAUAACAACGUUAGCCUCGAAAUCCAACGAAGGAUUACUCUUGCCAUCAGGUGCUACUUCGGACUGAGUAGGCAAUUGAAAAGUAAAGUCCUCUCUCGACGAACAAAAGCCGAACUCUAUAAGUCGCUCAUAAUUCCCGUCCUGCUAUAUGGUGCAGAGGCUUGGACGAUGUCAACAACGGAUGACUCGGCGUUGCGAGUUUUCGAGAGAAAAGUUCUGCGAAAGAUUUAUGGUCCUUUGCGCGUUGGUAACGGCGAAUACCGCAUUCGAUGGAACGAUGAGCUGUAUGAGUUAUACGACGACAUUGACAUAGUUCAGCGAAUUAAAAGACAGCGGCUACGCUGGCUAGGUCAUGUUGUCCGGAUGGACGAAAACACUCCAGCUUUGAAAAUAUUCGACGCAGUACCCGCCACGGAAAGCAGAGGAAGAGGAAGACCUUCACUCCGUUGGAAGGACCAAGUGGAGAAGGACCUGGCUUCGCUAGGAAUAUCAAAUUGGCGCCACGUAGCGAAAAGAAGAAACGACAAAGGACUACUAAGUGAGCGUAGACAUUUAAUAUUUUAUAUGCAUAUACAGUGUAAUCCAUUUAUAAUGGACUCGCUUAAGAUGGAAACUCUGUUAUUAUGUACCUCUUUGUCAAGUCCCAGUUCAAACAUAUGUAAAAAACUCGGUUAAAAUAUACGCGGUUAUAAUGGACUCCGGUUAUAAUAGACAAUAAAAUCGGAUUUUGUCCAUUAUAACCGAGGCUUUCAAAAUCAAAUUUCAAAAUAAAGUUGGCAAUCAGUUGGCAAUAAGCAAAAUUUUGUACUUCCCCAAAUUCGAUCAAGAGACACAAUCAGUCUCUGCAGCAGAAAAUGUUCAUUUUUUCUUGGAAAUAAGUCAAAGAAGUCAAACAACUUCUGCGGUGGGCUGAAAGUGGCAUUCGUUGGCUUUUCAUUGUUCAAAUGCAAUCAAUUUGCUCAAUAAACUCGAAAUCAAACUACAAAAAGAUUUCAGGCAUUCACCCAAAAGAAAAUCACUGACUUUUUUCAAUAGACUUAAUUAAACUUAUUAUUUUCUUAAUUUUGUAUUUUUAUUCAUAAACUUUAUUGCUUGAAUAAAAAAACACAUUGAAUUUACUUUUUGAGUUAAAAAUUUUAUUUUCUGAUUAGAUGGACACUCGGUUAUAAUGAACAAUUUGACAUGGUCCCGUGGAGUCCAUUAUAACCGGAUUACACUGUACAUAUGUAUGUAUAGACAUGAAAAAAUAACCUAUAUAUAAUAACCAAGGGCAUAAACAUAUGUAAAUUAGGAUUAUAACAUAAAAAACAAGACAAGAGAGGCAAAAAAUACAAACAUAGAUACAUAUAAGCCCCUUCACCUUUUUUCAAUUCCGUCUCCGCGAUCUCUUCUCAGACAUAUAUAAAUACCCAGCGGGAUAAUGGUUCCCCGCUUACAUUUUUCUUUGAAGAAUGCUUCGAAGAAAAUUCUAUGUAGAAUUCUUCGAUACCAGGUAAUGCAUAAAAGUAGCUAUGCGGCUAAAUUCUACUGUGUUCAUAUUUACAAGUUAAGUAAGUACAUGAAAAACGACAAAUAAAAAUUGAUGAAAUAAAACUUAUAAGUAAAUUUUUUCAUUAUUUCGUCAAAUCAUUAGGCAAAAAGUUGAUUACUAUUUGGUAAGUUUUUCGUGUUUUUAACAUUGAAAGACAUAGAUUCAAAUUUAUAAACAUACACUUUCAACUUUUUUGUAGAAUGUG